rnacentral:rRNA from 1 species
UACGUAGGGGGCAAGCGUUGUCCGGAUUUAUUGGGCGUAAAGAGCGUGUAGGCGGCCAGACAGGUCCGUUGUGAAAACUAGAGGCUUAACCUCUAGACGUCGAUGGAAACCGUCUGGCUAGAGUCCGGAAGAGGAGAAUGGAAUUCCUGGUGUAGCGGUGAAAUGCGUAGAUAUCGGAAGGAACAUCAGUGGCGAAAGCGGCUUCCUGGACCAGUACCGACGUUCAGGCACGAAAGCGUGGGGAGCAAACAGG